rnacentral:snRNA from 1 species
UGACUCUAGGGGAUUAGUUGCUCCCCUUCCUCCCUCACUGCUCCAUGUGUGUCUCUCCUGAAGCUGUGUGCUCAGCCAAAGAGGAUGGCCUUCCCCAAAUAGAGACAGACCGGUCUUCAGUCAAGGGUAUAUGAAUAGCUGCAUUCCCCUGCUAGAACUUCAAAAUAAGCUCACACUGGACUUCUUUAGGCAGUGACUUCAUUGAUUGUCUGUAGGAUAGACCUUAACUGCCUACCCCU